AUGCCUCUGGGGCUAAUUUUAGGAAUAGGAAGGGCAUUUCGAAGGAAGCGUACAUCGUCACUUGAUAUUCUAUCACCAAAACGUGCUCCUCGGGGUUUUUACAAGGGAAAAAACUGCCAACCCACUGGUUUCCACACUCGCAAAGGUGGUUAUGUGGUGUUGCAGGAAAAGUUGCCAAACUAUGUAGUUCCGGAUUUGACUGGUUUUAAGCUCAAACCAUAUGUAUCCCAGUGUCCCAUAGAAACGAACACUGCGGAGGCUUCUCAAACGGCUAAAUAA